rnacentral:rRNA from 1 species
UACGUAGGGGGCAAGCGUUGUCCGGAUUUAUUGGGCGUAAAGAGCGUGUAGGCGGCCAGGUAGGUCUGUUGUGAAAACUCGAGGCUUAACCUCGAGCUGUCGGCGGAAACCAUCUGGCUAGAGUCCGGAAGAGGAGAAUGGAAUUCCCGGUGUAGCGGUGAAAUGCGCAGAUAUCAGGAGGAACACCGGUGGCGAAGGCGGAUCUCUGGGCCGAUACUGACGCUGAGGAGCGAAAGCCAGGGGAGCAAACGGG